rnacentral:lncRNA from 1 species
CGGUACGCUUUUCGAGAUAUUUUUCUCUUUUGCGUUCUCCCAGUGGGCCACAUGUGCUCGUCCGAGAGGGCGACCGUAUCUCGUGACCUCCUUUCCCCCACCUCCCCAGUAAAUUAUCACAAAUUCUACGACGUGGGUCGAUGUUGGAAUCGCUCGUCGCGUGCCCGCUGCGGCGAUUCUGCACGCGCAGUGACGACGGGGGACGGCGGACUGUGCUCGGAGGAAUUAGGGUUUCGUUGCGACGACGACGAAGAUGACGAAGGCGACGACCACGACGAAGACGAUGCUUCUUCGUCGACAAGAGGAAUCGCAAACCCUCACAUAUUGAAGUUAAAUAGUGUGAUUUUUAAAUUGGUGUUGUAUGGGAAUUUAUUUUGUUGCAGAUUUUAAAAUAUAAAGUUGUACCUGGAUUUUCGGUUGA